UACGUAGGGGGCAAGCGUUGUCCGGAAUCAUUGGGCGUAAAGAGCGUGUAGGCGGUCCGGUAAGUCGGCUGUGAAAGUCCAGGGCUCAACCCUGGGAUGCCGGUCGAUACUGCCGGACUAGAGUUCGGAAGAGGCGAGUGGAAUUCCCGGUGUAGCGGUGAAAUGCGCAGAUAUCGGGAGGAACACCUAUGGCGAAGGCAGCUCGCUGGGACGUUACUGACGCUGAGACGCGGAAGCGUGGGGAGCAAACAGG
rnacentral:rRNA from 1 species